CAUUGUUUAUUAAUUAUUAUCCUUUUAUCUCUAGGACAGAAUUUGGAGACGUCUAUAUUCUAGUUACUUUUUGUAGAAGUUAAUUUAGCACUUCUAUAUGAUAUUGGUUGUUGCUAUCAUUCGACUCUUCAUUUACUUGGCUUUCUAAAUUUUUUUAAGCAUAUGUGGGCCAUGCACCCGUAAUUAUGGUGGCAAAAAUAUUCCUCUAGUUGAUCCAAACUCAGACUUUUGCAAUACUUCAAGUCAACCAAGUCUUGCUUUCAUUUUCUCUGCAACUGUGUGAUGAAUAAUAGUGAUAUAUCUAACAAAAAGUCACUCCCGCCUUUGAUCUUUACUUGUCUACAAUUCAAAAAAUAAAUGGCCUAAAAUACUUGUUCAGUGGGUGUAGUUGCAUUGGAACCGAGACUAAUUUGAAUCCGUGCUAUGCAAGGCCAAUUAAUGGGGUUUCCACAUCUAGCAUGCGAACCUGAGAUCUGUAAUUAAAAGAGGACUUAUAUGAUCCAUCCCACCUCAAACCUUGACGGUCCAAACUCCAAUUACAUUUGUGACACGGCAAGUCAACUCUCAUUCAAAUGACACAUCCAUUUUCACAUUCAAGCAAUCAAAUUUGUAUAAUUGGAAUCAACCAAGUCUUGCAAACCGUAAUUGUGGCGGCAAGUUUAUUCCACUAAUCAGCCCAAAUUCCAAAGAUUUCUGCAAGAUUAGCCAGCAACUCUCUAGCUCUUAUGCUAAGCACCCCGAAGGACCAUGAACACAUUUCUGGCCAACUAGUGAACAUGAAUAAAUCUUGCUAUUUGGUGGCUCCAAAAACUGACGCUGAUAGAAUUGAGGAAUUAAACCAACUCAUUGGUGUAGGUGGUAAAGGUUCUUCCAUGUGAUCAGGAGGUAACGGGUUCGAGCCGGGGAAACGGUCUCUUACAAAUAUGCAAGGUAUGGCUAUGUACGAUAAACCCUUUCUUUGAACUUUGUGCACCAGGCUGCCCUUUUAUUGGCUUCAACAACAAUUACUUUCCUCAUGAAUCUGUUAUAGUUCUAUGAGCUUAUG